UAAGGAAUCUUGCACAGUGGAGGAAACUCUGAUGCAGCGAUGCCGCGUGAGUGAAGAAGGCCCUUGGGUUGUAAAGCUCUUUCGUCGGGGAAGAAAAUGACUGUACCCGAAUAAGAAGGUCCGGCUAACCUCGUGCCAGCAGCCGCGGUAAUACGAAGGGACCUAGCGUAGUUCGGAAUUACUGGGCUUAAAGAGUUCGUAGGUGGUUAAAAAAGUUGGUGGUGAAAUCCCAGAGCUUAACUCUGGAACUGCCAUCAAAACUUUUUAGCUAGAGUAUGACAGAGGAAAGCAGAAUUUCUAGUGUAGAGGUGAAAUUCGUAGAUAUUAGAAAGAAUACCAAUUGCGAAGGCAGCUUUCUGGGUCAUUACUGACACUGAGGAACGAAAGCAUGGGUAGCGAAGAGG
rnacentral:rRNA from 1 species